CACGUGUACAUGGUACCACGUGGUCUGCACUCAGUCACUUGACUCCUACCUACCCUGUCUGCAUUCUUUCUUUGCGCUGAUACUCCUCGACCUGUUCUUGACUCAAGCUCCUCCCAGAGAUCCAGGACUGCUGAGAACCACGUGCAUCUAUGGCUGUUACAGGCGGUAAUUACACCACAACCACAGUCGUGGUUGUUGGAGUUGCGGCAGCUUUGGUGGGCUUCCUCAUCGGCUACAAGGUGCGAGACAGAUCGGGAUCCAAGGGGGCCAGGUCCAGCUAAUAUUUACACCUGUUCCAGCAGAACACGCUUAAUACUGGAUUUGCUAUAAGACCACAAGCAAGUAUGGAUUGCCAGAUAUACUAUGACGGCAGGAUGCAACAUCACCACUGAAAUGCCUGUCACCCAACAGACGAUCGCAUUCCCAUAUGGGAGUUCUAUAGUUUUAUUUUUACAUUAAAAUAUUCACUUUGA